rnacentral:tRNA from 1 species
UGCCUUGUCGUCUAACAGGUAGGACAUCUGACUUUGAAUCAGAGAAUGCACGUUCGAAGCGUGCCGAGGCAUCCA